rnacentral:tRNA from 1 species
GCGCCUGUGGCGGAAUUGGCAGACGCGCUAGACUUAGGAUCUAGUGCCGAAAGGCGUGCAGGUUCGAUUCCUGUCAGGCGCA